rnacentral:rRNA from 1 species
UACGGAGGAUGCGAGCGUUAUCCGGAUUUAUUGGGUUUAAAGGGUGCGUAGGCGGUUUGAUAAGUUAGAGGUGAAAUACCGGUGCUCAACACCGGAACUGCCUCUAAUACUGUUGAACUAGAGAGUAGUUGCGGUAGGCGGAAUGUAUGGUGUAGCGGUGAAAUGCUUAGAGAUCAUACAGAACACCGAUUGCGAAGGCAGCGUACCGGCUCCACACUGACGCUGAGGCACGAAAGCGUGGGUAUCGAACAGG